UAUCCUUUUGUUACAUGGUGGCUU
rnacentral:siRNA from 1 species